rnacentral:rRNA from 1 species
UACGUAGGGGGCAAGCGUUGUCCGGAUUUAUUGGGCGUAAAGGGCUCGUAGGCGGCCAACUAAGUCGGAUGUGAAAUCCCCAGGCUCAACUUGGGAACUGCAUCCGAUACUGGAUGGCUUGAAUUCGGGAGAGGGAUGCAGAAUUCCAGGUGUAGCGGUGAAAUGCGUAGAUAUCUGGAGGAAUACCGGUGGCGAAGGCGGCAUCCUGGACCGACAUUGACGCUGAGGAGCGAAAGCUAGGGGAGCAAACGGG